GGAGACUGCCGGUGAGUAAACCGGAGGAAGGUGGGGACGACGUCAAGUCAUCAUGGCCCUUACGAGUAGGGCUACACACGUGCUACAAUGGCGCAUACAGAGGGCAGCCAACUUGCGAAAGUGAGCGAAUCCCAAAAAGUGCGUCGUAGUCCGGAUUGGAGUCUGCAACUCGACUCCAUGAAGUCGGAAUCGCUAGUAAUCGUGGAUCAGAAUGCCACGGUGAAUACGUUCCC
rnacentral:rRNA from 1 species